UCCUGUAUAUACAACCCUUAGAUGUAUCUUUUUGCCAGAAUAUUAUUAUUUCAUGGCAAAAAACACAAACGCAACAGUUUUUGUUACAAGCUGGGUCAAAAAGCUUAACAAAGAAUCUAUGUAACUUUUUAAAGGCGGCAUUGGAAUUUAAAUUCACAGAUAAUCAGUUACUAUUUUGUGUUUGUUAUAAUAAGUUAUAUCUGUUUGUUCUCUGUAUUCUGUCAUAUAUGUAUUUACUUUUUUUAUUUUGCUACAGUAAUAUUGUUGCAAUACAGAUUCAUUCAAUCUGAUUUGAAAGUGUGUUCAAACAUCCAUAAGACAGCAACUGAACAACAAAAAAGGGUCAAAAUAGAAUUUUUAUUUGUAUAUCUUAUCUCAACGGGUAAUAUGAGUUAUAUAAUGAAAUAAAAAUGCACAAAUAACAUUACAUGUUUAAGUUGUUAUGAAUUUAGCAAUAUUGAUCAGUCAUCAGUUUUGCAUGUAGUGUUAAACUAAUUUGUGGACUUUAUUUGUCUUUUCGUCAUCUCCUUUUGUUAAUUUUUGUAAUUGCGUUGUCAGUUUCUCAUCGACUUAUAAUGAGCUGGCGUGUCACCUUGGUAUCCACUAUUUUCUGGUGAUUUUUUUUUUAAUUAUGAAUUUAUAGAAUAUGUCUCUCCUAGUUUAAUUUGUGUGAAUGUAUAUAUUUUCGAUUGUUUAUUUUUGUUUUGGCUUUUUGAUGUUAUACGUGCAUAUAAUUGAGUUUCUUUCAUAGCAAAACAAACUUAUAAUAAUUUAUAUUGACAGUUCACAUUUAUGAAACUUUUUUGCAGGCGAAGCAUUAAGGACAAAGAAGGUAAACGUACUGCUAAUUUAAAAUUUAUUGCAUUGAAUUAAAAAAGAAAACAAUGUAAUAUUCAUUUUCCAACAUAUCGUUAGAUGAGGUCGCCCAAAAACAAAACAGACUAGUUUAACUGCUACCGAAAAAACCAGAUACCAUGUUCAAUUGUGAUACUAGAAUUAGUAACCAAAAGGAUGACUUAUAAUAUCAAGUAUAGUAGAAGUGCCAUUCAAAUAUUAAUAUUCCAUAUCUCAUGUCUUGUUUAAAAUCUCCCUAAAUACAGCAGGAAAAUCCCAAAAUAGUUGUAUAGGUACGAAUAUAAGGAGAUAAGGGCUUUACGUCAACGCGGCAGCAAUCCCAAAAUAAAUAGCUAAUAAACAUUUAAAUAGAAAACAGUCGUCAAUGCAAGUGUUUAUAAAAUAUAUCAAGAGCUGAUAGGACUAAUUUGACUAAUUAAAAGACUUUGGAUUUUCUCACCAAUACAUUAUACAAACCAUUUGGAAAGUAUUCCGAAAGAAACAGUCACUGCAUACGCAACUGGUUUGCUAUAUAAUAGUGAUGUCCAACAUUUAAGAUAUUUUUAAAUGUUGUCAUAAAUUUCAUUUUGGUACAACCACCUACACGACCGAAUUUUGUUGUUUGUCUUUUAAUUAUGUUUAAUGAAACAAAUACGCAUUUCAGCCUAAAGAAUGCAAUAAUUCAAAGGAAUGUGGCUUUAAUCAAUGCUGUGCCAAUGAUCAAGUUAGAGGACGAAAGAAAAGAUCCAUGCGUUUCGCUGGAAUUUGUAAACCAUAUGGCCAACGGAAAUCAGAAUGUGCAGUGAGAAACCAAAAUGCUAAAAACGUCGUGUUCCUUGGUUGGUGUCCAUGUAGAUACCCAUUAGAUUGUAUUGGAACAGGAAUAAUUGAACCACCGUUUGGUGAAAAAGGGGUAUGCGGAUAUAGAUGAAAAAAAAAGAAGACUCGUUAACUUUAUGUUUUUCGAGAUCGUCAAUGUUAAUGAAAAUCGUUUUUUAAAUACGCAUUAUAUAUUUAAUUAUUCAAUAUAAAUAUUGUUGUAUUCCUCAAUAGUAUAUAUUACAUGCUGUAAAUACCAUUUUGUAUCGUUUGUCGCUUUGUAAGUCAUGCAUCAAGAAACAAGAUUCGUUGUUGAUUUCACGACACUCCUGCAUUUCAGUUCUAGAAAUUACACGAUGUUUAAAGACGUAAUUAAUAUUUAAGGAAUGACUGUAAUAUUUUUUCUGUCUAUGAAGAAAUAACAUCAAAAAUGUGGUGCACACUGAACAACCCGCGUAGCGGGUUAUUUUAAAGUGUGCACCAUAUUUUUUAUGUUAUUUCGCAUAGACAGAAAAAAUAUUACAGUCAUUUCUUAUAAUUUAAUUCUAAAUUUCAUUUUAAACCGGAGUAAACCAUGAAAAAACGUUGAUGACGUCACGGUCACAUGACAAAAUUAUGUCUAUGAGCUGAUAAACAAAACAACGUCAGCCAAUCAGAAGACGCGUUACAUCCAAAAUUAAAUUAUUUUACAAUAAUCAUUUAAUUAAUUACUACGCUAAUUAUUUCUUACAAUUUAAGUAUGGUUUUAUAAAUCUCUGCUCAUAUUUUGUAUACUAGUAGCAAUAAAUUCAUGAAAUGGAAAGU